rnacentral:tRNA from 1 species
GCGGACAUAACUCAAUUGGUAGAGUUCCACCCUUCCAAGGUGGCUGUUGUGAGUUCGAAUCUCAUUGUCCGCU